ensembl:lncRNA
GUGGGAGAUAUGUUUUUAAAUGGGGUUCAGGGUGUGUUUCCAAGACGGUUUGAGGUUUAAAGUCGUGUUUGAACCGUUCAGUCCCCUUGAAGAAGAGAUUUGUUGUGACUUGCUAUUUGGCGCUAAACCUUUGCGACGACUACACACAGUCGAGAGAGAGCAAGGGGAUGUUGACUUAUUCCCCGGACCCCCUCCCUCCUGUAGUUUGUCUAAUGGAGGAAGAUGUACCCCCGAAUCCUUUUUGCAGUGCACCCCCCCACAAUGAACCUCCUCUCCCUUCCCUC